AGGAUAUUAGUUUAAUUUAAAACAACUAAAUUGCAUUUAGUAAAUAUUCCAAUAAUAUAUCUU
rnacentral:tRNA from 1 species